rnacentral:lncRNA from 1 species
UAAGUGUCAGACCCUGUUUAUUAAGGUAUAUUCUAUUUUUUUGAGUAAACCUAUUUUCUAUUUUUGAGUAAGCUUAUAUUACUUUAAAUUGUUGAACCCCUAUUUAAAGUGUACCUUUAAACUAUGUUUCUAUUAAGAUCACCUCUCUGGCAUAUGCUGCUGGUGAAACAAAGAGAUGGGAACAAAGAUACCCCUAUUCUAUAGGCCUUGUUUAUGUCUUAAACCCAGACCACUUCCUUUAUUCGUAGAGUACAUAAAUCAUGAAUGACCAGUGGAUACACUUACUGGUACCCCUUUGUCUUGGGGAUAGGGAAUAGUGGGGUUGUUUGCCUGGUUAGGAAGAAAGAUUGGCUUUCUCGUUGAGAGCAAGUUUAGACUUCAAGGCAGAUAGACGUGUGAUGUAACUUCCCCCAGAAGUUACUAUGUCGCAGCUUUUUAAGACCUGCCUUGAUUUUGUUUCUUAACAGUUUCACCAUGGUUCCACCAUGGUUCCAGUUCCAUUUCCCUCGGGACAAGAGUUGGGACUGCUGUCGUUGUUCAGGCAACGCUCUCCGCCUGAUCGAUGUAUUUAGUGCUUACUGACGAACGACUUGUGUUUUAUCAUUUGUACUGCAUAUGAACAUCUAUUCUUUUCUUCUAUUCCCUAAUAUGUUUCUACUGUACAGUGUAGUUUACUUUGCUCUUUUGCUAUCAUUCUUGUAAUAAACAUUGUAAAGCUUUGCAUGUAGCUGUUUUUGUAAGAAUUGUUUGUUUGAAAUCGAAAUGCCAGUUGUCACACUGGGAAUUUAUUAUCGGUGUACCUUCGACACUGAAUAUUAAUAAACACCUCUUUGGAAUCUUUGGCACAAAAUAUAUGUUUCAGACUUAUGUAUUUUAAUGGAUCUCCGUGUUUACUAAUCUUAAUUAAUUGAACCGGCGCAGGCAUAGGAAGCCUGUGUAACAAAUGGAGGCACUGCCCGGAUCUUAAAUUUUCUUAGAAAAUUAUUGUUGUUUUUCCGAAAGGAAAAUUCUGUUUAGAUAAUACAUUUUUCAAAUGGCUUUAAUUGAGUAUUAGGUUCUCUUUCUCUCUCUCUUUGUUUCGUAGAGAUUAACAAUAUUCUGUGUAUAUGAUUGUUGUGUUGAUUGCCACAACUUGUAAAACACUAAGUUGGACAUAGCGUAUAUUUGAAAGUGGUCUUAAUUUUGAAGUGUGACCUAAUCAAUUUUUGUUGCUGUUGUUCAGGUCAAAUCAGUAGCAGCCCUACUACUGACAGGCGUAACAGUAAACAAGGGGUAGCUUGUCCAGCUUAGUUGUUACUGUGGUUUCUAUUUUACUAUAUCAAUAUUCUCAUCAUAUAAUUAUUUUUGUUUUUUAUAUAAUAAUUAGCACGUUUUUGAAUCCUGAUUGGUGUUAUAAAUAGUAUAUUUAGGCACCUUAAUAUCUUAAACUAUUUUGUUAACCCUGUUUUUGGAUAGUUUAGCUUUAUAAUCUUUUUAAAAAAUGUCUGACUCUAACCCUAAGUUUAAGGCAGAGCUAGUGAAGUUUCUGGCCGAACAGGUGGCCAAAGAUAAACCUAAGAAGUGUCCCAUAAGGCGAUCUGCAAUUAUGAGUUUGCAGAUGACGCCAUCUCAUCAGGCCACAUCUGAUAAAUCUCCAGCCGCACUAGUAGUGGGUACCCAAUUCACUGUCUGGGCUGAGGUUGACGGAGUGUGUGCCCUAUGAGUGCCUUAUGGACACUAGGUCGAUCCCAAGUGACAUGCAUAUCUGCUUAUUGUUAUCACAAAAAGUUAGCGCACCGUCACUUGGAAUCCAUGACGACCUGUUCGUGUUUGGUGCAGGUGGAAUCAGAAGUUCCAUACAUUGGGUACAUCGAGGCCCAUCUGCAUUUUCACACUGACAAUUAGGUUUGCGUUCAGUCAGAGACGACGACGCUGGCACUGGUUAUUUUUAUUUUACAAGUUUUUCACAAGUACUAGCACCAAACCAAUGAUAUCCUUCAUUGCCACCACCUUUCGGGUGAAGCUCAUUCUACCCAAGAAUGAAGCAUAGUGGCAGGAGGAAUCAUUCGGCUGGAUGCGGUGUUUGACUGAAGAGGUAUGCACCCCAUGUUGAGGUCAUCUACAGAGAAUUACAUCUUGCCAUCUAGGUAGGAAAGUAUGAGAUUGGUCAAUCUCUCUCUGUCCUCUAAAAGUCUGCUGAAAUGUAUUAUUGUAUUAACUUGUAAUUAAAGAUGUCGGGACGCCAUGGUUCUAGGAGGGGAGAGUGUCAGACCCUGUUUAUUAAGGUAUAUUCUAUUUUUUUGAGUAAACCUAUUUUCUAUUUUUGAGUAAGCUUAUAUUACUUUAAAUUGUUGAACCCCUAUUUAAAGUGUACCUUUAAACUAUGUUUCUAUUAAGAUCACCUCUCUGGCAUAUGCUGCUGGUGAAACAAAGAGAUGGGAACAAAGAUACCCCUAUUCUAUAGGCCUUGUUUAUGUCUUAAACCCAGACCACUUCCUUUAUUCGUAGAGUACAUAAAUCAUGAAUGACCAGUGGAUACACUUACUGGUACCCCUUUGUCUUGGGGAUAGGGAAUAGUGGGGUUGUUUGCCUGGUUAGGAAGAAAGAUUGGCUUUCUCGUUGAGAGCAAGUUUAGACUUCAAGGCAGAUAGACGUGUGAUGUAACUUCCCCCAGAAGUUACUAUGUCGCAGCUUUUUAAGACCUGCCUUGAUUUUGUUUCUUAACAGUUUCACCAUGGUUCCACCAUGGUUCCAGUUCCAUUUCCCUCGGGACAAGAGUUGGGACUGCUGUCGUUGUUCAGGCAACGCUCUCCGCCUGAUCGAUGUAUUUAGUGCUUACUGACGAACGACUUGUGUUUUAUCAUUUGUACUGCAUAUGAACAUCUAUUCUUUUCUUCUAUUCCCUAAUAUGUUUCUACUGUACAGUGUAGUUUACUUUGCUCUUUUGCUAUCAUUCUUGUAAUAAACAUUGUAAAGCUUUGCAUGUAGCUGUUUUUGUAAGAAUUGUUUGUUUGAAAUCGAAAUGCCAGUUGUCACACUGGGAAUUUAUUAUCGGUGUACCUUCGACACUGAAUAUUAAUAAACACCUCUUUGGAAUCUUUGGCACAAAA